CCUACGGGGGCUGCAGUGGGGAAUAUUGGACAAUGGGCGAAAGCCUGAUCCAGCCAUGCCGCGUGUGUGAAGAAGGCCUUCGGGUUGUAAAGCACUUUCAGUGGGGAAGAAAGCCUUGGGGCUAAUACCCUCGAGGAAGGACAUCACCCACAGAAGAAGCACCGGCUAACUCCGUGCCAGCAGCCGCGGUAAUACGGAGGGUGCGAGCGUUAAUCGGAAUUACUGGGCGUAAAGCGCGCGUAGGCGGUCUGAUAAGCCGGUUGUGAAAGCCCCGGGCUCAACCUGGGAACGGCAUCCGGAACUGUCAGGCUAGAGUGCAGGAGAGGAAGGUAGAAUUCCCGGUGUAGCGGUGAAAUGCGUAGAGAUCGGGAGGAAUACCAGUGGCGAAGGCGGCCUUCUGGACUGACACUGACGCUGAGGUGCGAAAGCGUGGGUAGCAAACAGGAUUAGAUACCCGGUAUC
rnacentral:rRNA from 1 species